ACCUACGGGGGGCAGCAGUGGGGAAUAUUGGACAAUGGGGGAAACUCUGAUCUAGCGACGCCGCGUGAGUGAAGAAGUAUUUCGGUAUGUAAAGCUCUAUCAGCAGGGAAGAUAAUGACGGUACCUGAGUAAGAAGCCCCGGCUAACUACGAGCCAGCAGCCGCGGUAAUACGUAGGGGGCAAGCGUUAUCCGGAUUUACUGGGUGUAAAGGGAGCGUAGACGGCAUGGCAAGUCUGAAUUGAAAGCCCGGGGCUCAACCACGGGACUGCUUUGGAA
rnacentral:rRNA from 1 species